ACGAUCAAAGGAGAAUUGGACAUUUAAGAUCGAUCAAGAGAAAUUUUCAAAUUUCGUUUAAUACAAGAGAAGUUAAGCCCAAGAUAAAUAAUGGAUCAAGAACAAGUUUCAGAUUAUACAAAAUUUAGUGCAUAAAUUUAUGAGUUUGAGAAAGAAAGAUCAUGACUGUAAUCACAAGACUAUAAACAAUGGGCCUAAUCUUGUGAACCGCAUCACGCCCUUUUUAAGCCCAAUAAGUUGGCCCUAUCCGAUCAGCCCGUUGGGCCCGAGGCAUCAAGCCCGUCUCGGACAGCAGCUUGGCAGCCCAAGUCCCCUCCCAACCUGCAAAGUAGAGAUGAGACAGCCAUGUUUUUUUUCCAACAGCCUGCAAACCUGCAGCAUUCAAACAAGGAGGAGUUAUUGAAGAUGAGUACAUCUACACAAAAUGUCAAAAGUAGUUAACAAAGAGCCAAGGAAGAGCUGGGUGGUCCCUAAUCAAAAUCUUGACCAAAUCCUAAAAUGUGGCAGGAGCUGCAACAAGAAAACAAACUCCAUUAAGGUCUAAGCAAGAAGAAGCCAAGAGAGCAGAUUUCUCUCUGACACAUCCCUCUACCAAAAUCCCAACAACCAAGCAGAUUUUCAGCCUAUAUAUACACGUAUACAUAGCCAGUUCCAUCCUCCCCCCCCCCACCAUUUUCGACUCCCAAAAAAUCCACAAAAGACGGCGGAGUAACGAGGGAGGAAGGCAGUGGCUGUGCGAGAGGGCAGCCCGGUAACCAAGAGGAAUCACCACGCCAAGGACUAUCUCCGCAAGUUAAGAUCAGAGCGAGAAAUUCAAUUAAAGGAAAUUAAGCGAACAAGGUUGAGCAGUGAUGAUGGCGGGCGGUGUUGAGCACAGACAAAUGAAGAUCCUUCAAUAGAAUAGUACUUGGAUGCGUCGUGUCUCCAUACACGAUGUCAUCUGCUCUUGACUCUUCCGCUGCAAUGUAAAAGUCGAGUUUACACUCCUUGUAUUAUGCACUCUGAUUUAUGCACAUAUUCCAAGUUAUUUCAGUUCAUGAUCAGUCGUGCCACAGUUUCCCCCU